rnacentral:rRNA from 1 species
UACGAAGGGGGCUAGCGUUGCUCGGAAUCACUGGGCGUAAAGCGCACGUAGGCGGAUUGCUAAGUCAGGGGUGAAAUCCUGGAGCUCAACUCCAGAACUGCCCUUGAUACUGGCGGUCUCGAGUCCGGGAGAGGUGAGUGGAACUGCGAGUGUAGAGGUGAAAUUCGUAGAUAUUCGCAAGAACACCCAGUGGCGAAGGCGGCUCACUGGCCCGAUACUGACGCUGAGGCACGAAAAGCGUGGGGGAGCAAACAGG